UACGUAGGCAGCAAGCGUUGUUCGGAGUUACUGGGCGUAAAGGGUGUGUAGGCGGUUCUUUAAGUUUGGUGUGAAAUCUCCCGGCUCAACUGGGAGGGGUCAGUCGAUACUGGCGGGCUCGAGGCCGGUAGGGGGAAGCGGAAUUCCCGGUGUAGUGGUGGAAUGCGUAGAUAUCGGGAGGAACACCAGUGGCGAAGGCGGCUUCCUGGACCGGUUCUGACGCUGAGGUGCGAAAGCGUGGGGAGCAAACAGG
rnacentral:rRNA from 1 species